rnacentral:lncRNA from 1 species
GGACAUUUCUGUGAUCCAACAUCCUGAGAAUGAAGAAGCAAUUCUUACACAGUUUUCAAGGACUCAAGGAAGAAAGUUUAAGAUGACUGUUAUCACAUCACUUGCUUCUACUGGAGAAGUAAAGGAGUGAAUUGAAAGCUACUUAGGGAAAGGAGACCAGCCAAUAUUCAACCACAGAAGGAGGAAAGG